rnacentral:rRNA from 1 species
UACCAGCUCCCUGAGUGGUAAGGACGAUUAUUUGGCCUAAAGCGUCCGUAGCCGGCUUAUCAAGUCUUUUGUUAAACCCAAUGAUUCAAUCAUUGAUCUGCAAGAGAUACUGUUAUGCUAGAGGACGGGAGAGGUCGACGGUAGUCCAGGGGUAGGGGUGAAAUCCUAUAAUCCUUGGAGGACCACCAGUGGCGAAGGCGGUCGACUAGAACGUGCCUGACGGUGAGGGACGAAAGCUGGGGGAGCGAACCGGAUUAGAUACCCGGGUAGUCCCAGCUGUAAACGAUGCGGGCUAGGUGUUGGGGUAGCUACGAGCUACUCCAGUGCCGCAGAGAAGUUGUUAAGCCCGCCGCCUGGGGAGUACGGCCGCAAGGCUGAAACUUAAAGGAAUUGGCGGGGGAGCACCACAAGGGGUGAAGGCUGCGGUUU